UACGUAGGGUGCGAGCGUUGUCCGGAAUUAUUGGGCGUAAAGAGCUCGUAGGCGGUCUGUCGCGUCGAAUGUGAAAACCCGGGGCUCAACUCCGGGCUUGCAUUCGAUACGGGCAGGCUAGAGUUCGGUAGGGGAGUCUGGAAUUCCUGGUGUAGCGGUGAAAUGCGCAGAUAUCGGGAGGAACACCGGUGGCGAAGGCGGUUCUCUGGGCCUUACCUGACGCUGAGGAGCGAAAGCGUGGGGAGCGAACAGG
rnacentral:rRNA from 1 species